rnacentral:rRNA from 1 species
GUGAGGAAUAUUGCGCAAUGGAGGCAACUCUGACGCAGCCAUGCCGCGUGCAGGAAGAAGGCGCUACGCGUUGUAAACUGCUUUUAACCGGGAAGAAACCCCAGGACGUGUCCUGGGUUGACGGUACCGGAGGAAUAAGCACCGGCUAACUUCGUGCCAGCGGCCGCGGUAAUACGAAGGGUGCAAGCGUUAUCCGGAUUCAUUGGGUUUAAAGGGUGCGUAGGCGGAGCGUUAAGUCAGUGGUGAAAUCCUGCAGCUUAACUGUAGACUUGCCAUUGAUACUGGCGCUCUUGAGUGCGCUUGAAGUGGGCGGAAUGUGCCGUGUAGCGGUGAAAUGCUUAGAUAUGGCACAGAACACCAAUUGCGAAGGCAGCUCACUAAGGCGAUACUGACGCUGAGGCACGAAAGCGUGGGGAUCGAACAGGAUUAGAUACCCUGGUAGUCC